GAUGAAGAACGUAGCGAAAUGCGAUAAGUAAUGUGAAUUGCAGAGUUCAGUGAAUCAUCGAAUCUUUGAACGCACAUUGCGCCCGUCAGUAUUCUGACGGGCAUGCCUGUCCGAGCGUCAUUUCAACCCUCAAGCCCCCGGGCUUGGUGUUGGGGAUCGGCGUGCCCUCGCGGCGCGCCGUCCCCUAAAUCUAGUGGCGGUCUCGCUGUAGCUUCCUCUGCGUAGUAGCAACACUCGCACUGGAUCGCAGCGCGGCCACGCCGUUAAACCCCCCACUUCUGAAAGUUUGACCUCGGAUCAGGUAGGAAUACCCGCUGAACUUAAGCAUAUCAAUAAGCGGAGGA
rnacentral:misc_RNA from 1 species